UUUGCAUCUGUGUCUUGAAGAUUUUUAUUGCAUUCUUAUCUUUAACCUUUAAUUUAUUAACACAUCUUGUCUUUGAUAAUUGUUUAUGUUCUAAUAUUUCGUUAGCGUGAGGAAAAAUAUUUUUUCUAAGUUUUAUGUUUGUGAUCUAUUUACUUAAAGUCCCGUUUGGUAGUCAUUUUUUUUCAAAAUAAAUUUUUCUCUUUCUUUUUUUCAACAACACAUUCUUUAUUUCUCAACAACACAUUUCAUAUCAAUUUACUAUUCUAAAAUAUAUUUUUACAUAAAAAUGUCUAUCAAACAUCCCUUUAAAAAUACAAUGGACAAAUAACUCUUUUCACUCCAUUAUUAAGAUUUUUUGCUUGACAUCUGGGUUGUGGUAACAAUUAAUAGAAGAUUGAAGAUAAAAAUAUGACCAAAAAAAGUAGGGACAUCAGUGCAAAAAUGAAUAAAAGUUAAGAACUUUCACAGCAAUUAAAUGCAAUGCUACUUUUGUUAAAAAGUGUGAAAUAUAAUUAAUUAAAGGUGUGGUGCAACAAAAAAGUCGUGGCAAUAUAACAACCCAAAAUAUCAGAUAUUGAAGAAACAUUUUUGAAUGAUAAUGUGCUCCCUAAUAUUUUCAAGGGUUUUGUUAUUUGUACACCUGGGUUAACAUUCCAGUGUAUAGCCUUCUAACAAUUGAUGGGAAGGGGAAAAUCGUGGGCUCCCCAUUGUGAGGGCAUGUACACCGUGUGUGUAUGCAUAGCAAAACCCCCAUAUUUUUAAUUCUUAAUUUUUUUCUUUUUUGUUAAUAUAAUAAUGAUGGUUAUAAUCCUAAUUGCCCAAAAAUAAUAAGAAAACCUAUAACCAGAAAUAUCAUGGAUAAGGUGUCUGGACAUCUCUCAUCGGAGGGAGCAAAAUUCCCAAAACCAUUAAAACCGAAUCAGACCGAUCCAUUAAGUUUAGAUUUGUUCCUUCACAUAAAAAAAAAACAAAAAAAACAAAAACAAAAAAACAUAAAAAUAAAAUAAAAUUGUUUUGGUCAUUUAGUGGGUACUCAGCCUGCAUCGAAGUUGUAUUUUUUAUUUAUUUAUUUAUUAUUUUAUUUUAUUUUUGGAAGAAUGCGUAAUUAAAAAGUAGAGAAAUGUUAUUGGAUCUACGUGAAAUUAUUUUAUUAAGAGAAUGUGAUUAAAAAUAAGUUUGGAGAAAAGAUGAGUUUUAAAGAAUCUUUAUAAUAUGUGGCAAUUCAAAACCUGGGUUGACACACGGGUGUAUGCAUUUCGGGGUGCGUACAAAUAGCAAAACCCUCUAUUUUCAAUUCUUAAUUUUUUCUUUUAGUUAAUAUUAUAAUAAGAGUUAUAAUCCUAAUUACCCAAAAAUAAUAAGAAAAACUAUAACAAGAAAUAACAUGAAUAAGUUUUCUGGACAUCUCUCGUGGGAGGGGGCAAAAUUCCCAAAACCAUUGGAACCGAAUCAGGUUCAUCCAUUUGGUUUGGAUUUGUUCCUUCACUUAAAUAAUAAUAAUUUUGGUCAUUUUUGGGGGUUCUUGGCCUGCGUCGAAGUACCUUUUUUUGGGAAGAAUGUGUAGUUAAAAAGUAAAGAGAGGUAAUUGGAUCUACAUGUGAAAUUAUUUUAUUAAGAGAAUGUAUGAUUAAAAAUGGGUUUGGUAAAGAAUUUUAAUAAGACAUGAGUUCUCUCUCAUUUCUAUUUCUCUUCAUAUAUUGUUAAAGCCACACCUAAUUUCUCAGAGAGUAGGGAAGAAUGUAAUGCUUUUCGAGAAAUUUUAAAAUUUCUGUCCAUAUCCCUUUAUGGCGCUUUGUUCUUCCAUAAUAGUUCCUUUCAAUUAGGUAAAAAUAGUGUUUGUGAUGACUAAGUACUUUGGCAUAUGAAUUUUGUUUUCAGAAAAAUUCAUUCACUAGUUUUUUCUUUCAGGUUGGAUCUAUAUUUUCAGUUGUCGGAGUUGCAUAUUUUUGAAACGAGCUAGUAGAAUUUUAUUUAUUUAUUUAUUUAUUUAUUUAUUUAUUAUUAUUAUUAUUAUUAUAAUAUUUUUUUUAUGUAUUUGUUUGGUUUGUAAUUGUGGUAUACAUUGUGAAGAUUUUGUUUCUGUAAAUUUGUGUAAUUUGAAAAUAAGAAUGCCCUCUCAAUGUUUUGGUUUGUUUAGAUUACAUAGGCUUACCAAAUUAUUUUUCUUAUAGAAUGAGAUUGAAUUUCACAACUUUCCCCGUCACUGAAAAUUUUAACAGCACAAAAGAAUUUGCAAUACUAUUGAUAAUUAAAAGUUAUUACAUUUGUGCUCAAUAUUUUCUGCUAUGAAAAUGAUGUAACAAUUUCCAUGAAGUAACAAAUUCUACUGAGUGAUGUAGAGAGCGAAGUUAGCAAGUAGACAGGUACUUGUGCACAUUUUAUUGAUUAUUAAGAUAAUUAAAAUAUACUUAAAUUACAAUAAUUCAAAUGAGUGAUAGUUAUAUAGGUCUUAGUCAAGUUGAAAUAUAUACUUGUAGAUAUUGAUGCAUCUUGUUCUAAAGUUUGGCUAUUUGUCGAAGUGUACAAAUUCUUCUAAAUCAAAUAAUUUCUGAAUUUAAUUUGGAAAAAUUGCAAAGAAUAAUGAUAUUUAUACAUAAUGAGUUAAAUAAUGGUUUACAUAUAGAUAAGAUGUAACAAUGAGAGUGUGAAAGUUUAUUGUUAUUAGUAUUUGGUUGAAAAAGUUUCAACUCAAUUACAUUUUACCACAUUAUAUGUAUGUAAAUUAUUAUGUGUAUGUAGUAUAAUUGAAUUGUAAAAUCUGUAAGGGCCACACCCCUGACAUGGGUCUUACAGUGCCCACAAUUUUAGAGAAAAAUAUUUGAGUAGUGCUGUUUGUACAUAAUCAUACAUAGAUGACAUGGAAUAGAGAGAAAAAAGAAUAGAAAUUUAGUUAUUAUAAUCCCUCUCUUUUAGUCAUCAUUAUCUAAUCAUUAUGUACAAAUAACAUUAUUCAAUAUAUGCUUUUAUGUUUCCAUUAUUAAAAAAAAAAAAUAUUUUUCUCAAGAAUUUGUGUGUUUGGUAAUUAAUUGUCUCCCCAAUAGCAUAUAAACAAGGAUAAAAUAUGCAAUAAACUUGAUCUUAAAAUUAGAUAUAUCAUUUUUCAAUCUCUUGGAUAUAGUUAUUCUCUUUUCAAAUUACUGGCGAAUGCAUGUUCGUUGCACAUGUAGUGAGUGAUGUAGUGUAAGUAAAAAUGUUGGAUUUUGGUUUUGUGAAAUUGUAGUAGAAAAUGAAACUUGCUUUGAAUGAAGGUUACAUUGGAUUAUAUAAACAGAUCAUAAUCAGUAUACUUAAGAUGUGUACUAACUGUGACUUCAAUGUAAUUGUCAAUGUAUUCUAUGGUUUACUUGGGGUUCGAUUGCCUAGUUUGCAAAAGCGUUUGAGGUCUUCAAUCUGAAUGGAAGAACAAAAUUAAUUGUACGGAAUCUUCACUGAAUUUAGCUAUGAAAUUAACUAUUGGCAUGACAUUCAUCUACUUUGAUUUUCUUCCAGCAUACGAAGAAAUAAUAAGUUAGCUCAAAAAAGAAAAUAUCAAUGGUAAGAUCAUACGAAAUUUAUGUCCAUGCAUUCCCUUACAUAACCAAAUCCACCUUACUGAAAGAAACUCUGAUGUUAUAAUGAAACAAAGAAAGUUGGAGAGACAUAAUAUCGUGCAAUUGGAGGCAUAAUAUUCAUGUCAUGACACAAUAUUACUCCCUAUGAUUAGUAAGUGCAAACAAAGAAAGUGUUGAAAACCAAAUAUAACAGCUGAAGCAAGAUAGACGAUAUUCUUGAAAUCCUAUAAAUACUUAAUACAUGCUGCAAAAUGCAACCAUUAAGAAGAGUAAUAGUAGUAGUAUGAACAAUUACUUACAAACUUGACCUAAAACCACCGCAAAUGAAUGAUUUUAAGGCUCCGUUUGGUAGUCAUUUUUUUUAAAAUAUAUUUCUCUCUUUCUUCUUUUCAAGCACACAUUCUUUAUUAAAAUAAUAUUACACGUAAAUCAAAUUUUUUUUCUUAUUUCUCAACCAUACAUUUCAAAUUAAUUUACUAUUCUAAAAUGUAUUUUUACAUAAAAAUGUCUAUUAAACAUCCCCUAAGGUGUUUUUGGUUUUUAGUUCAAACAUGAGUGGAGUGAAAUAUGAGAACCUAUGUACUUGACCACAAAUAAUUAUUUGAUAACAUUUGAUUGAUGCUCCAAGUUUAAACAAAUUUCAUAUCUGAUAAUUAGUUCAUCAUUGUUAUUUAGGACCCUUUCUCCACUUCAAUUCAACUUGAAAGCAAAUAACUAACACUUACCAAAACAGAGGAAACUGUCUGGAAUUAUAUUUUUGAUCUUUUUUUCUUUUAUGCAUAAGAGAGAGAAUUCAUUUACUUAAAUAUAAACAAGGCUACAAAGUAUAUAUACUGCGAGACUACAAUGUAUAUAUUUUUGUAUAUAUUUUUCCAUAAAAAUUACAUGGCAUUUCAUUGUUAACUACGGACUUGGGCAAUUAUAAACCUGAAUGUUGAUUUCCAACGUUAAAACUAGUUAGCAUAAUUAAAAAAGUCAAAGUAAUACAAAAUGAUCAAACAAAGUAGAAAGCAAUCAGAAAUAUUGACAAAUUCAAGUAUCACAACAGAAACAACUUGAUAAAUUAGAAAACAGAAUUUUACCUUAUCAAGAGAACAUUCAUACUAACAAAGAAGAGAGUAAUAAACCAAAUUUGACAACGGAAUGCCCUUUUAUUAAAAGAACCUAAGACUGCAUUCUUUUGACACAUAACAUGAUAACACCCUCACUCCAACAAAGUCACCAUUUACAAGAACCCAUAAUUUUCCAAAAAUAAUUUUAGAAGCCGGAUGCAGGUUAGAUACCUAACCCCCAAAAUCACCAUACACUCUUGAGAUUAAUCUUUCUAUUCCUAUAAUCAUCAUCAACAAGAUCAGUUGAAUUAAUUUUAUCCUUACUCAUGAAAAACAAGAGGCUUCAACGAGACUUCUAAACAAAAUCAUCAUGAGAAACGUAAGAUAAAUUGAGAUACAAACAAACUAAUAAAUUCAAAUUAUACAUUUAUUUCUUUUUCUUAUGUGAUGCUUAAUAAGCCAUUGUUUGAGUCUUAUUCUUCUCAAAAUUCUUUUUUUUCACAAAACUCAUUUUCAACCACAUAUUCUUUAAUAAAAUAAUAUUACACGUAAACCCAAAAUUUUUCCUUAAUUUUUGACUACGCAUUCUCCAUCAAUCACUAAUUGAAGAUGCAUUCUUUCCCUUAAAAUGUGGCUCAAAUAAGUAUCUCCAUUCUUUUUAUAGAUUGAAUUUUUAUCUAGUGGGAGACGAAAAUCUUGGAUUGUUUCCUUAUUCCUCUUAUUUCUCUCAGAGGCCUAAGAGUACAAGUAAAUGUAUUUACCCAAAACUAUAAUAAUUUAAAUUCACAUCAACAAAAAUCCAAGUGAUCAUGUAUCAAAGAGUAUCUGCAUUACAUUCAAUCUUCUAUUUCCAUGAAUCCACAAUUAUAUCAUAAUAUACUCGGUAACAUGUGAAAUAAGAAUAACCUGAAAGAUUAAUCAUCCCUUCAUCAUUUCCAGCAAGUGCUCCAAAUUUAUUAAACCCAAAGCAAAGAAAUGCAUGCAUAAUUUUAGAAUCACCUACUCAAAUACAUAUUUUCAUUUGAACCCAACUUUUGAUAACAUACUAAAUUAUGUAUGACAGUGACAAUAUCCAACACAUACAUAACCUUUAGUUGAAAAUUUAUUAGUGUCAACUUCUAUCUUCCUUAUUGCAAACAAUAAAAUAUAGGAUCCAGAUGAUGAUUGAGCUCCCAAUUUGGUGAAAAUUCUAUUCUAAAUUCCACAAAUAAAAUAAGCCAUUUUUCGAUUAGAUAAGGAACAUCAAUAACGCUAGGGUAGUUUUCAUCGUACCAAAUCAAUAAACAAGGAAUAUAACACCAAGUACUACACACUAAUUUUACAUUGCUUUAGCAAUAUUAGCUAAACAGUAAGAAAAAUAAAAAAUUUACAAAACCUACAAAAUCCAAAUUUCUCAUAGAAAAAAAAAGCGCAUACUUUGAAUGCAGCAUAUGACCGUACUCGACAAAUAAUGUGCAAAAUUUUAACAUUUUUUAAUCUUCCUUAAAACUAUCGAUUUUAAUCCACAUUAACAAACAUAUUGUAAUUGAGCUAAUUGACUAACGCAAUGUUUGGCCAUGCUUAAAUGUGGCUCUUUUAGCUGCUUUUACGAGCCGACUUUUAAGCAUGGCCAAACACGUGCCAAGAAGGGCAUCACGUUUAUCAGUAAGAAUAGAAGAUUUAGUCCACAAGCAGCUCAACUCACAUCUUGUACAAAUAAUCCAUAUUAUCAGGAAUCCAAGUCCAACGUUUCACCAAAAGACUUACAUAAUUAAUCUUCAAAAUAUUGCAAGGAUAUUGACCAAUUUCUCGAAACGUUCUCGUGUUUUUCUCUGAAUCGAUCACAACCCACUUGAGAAUUUCACUUCUUGUACACUUUAAACAAAUCCUCAAACGAAUCUGGGACUAUGGAUUUUGACGAAAGGUUUGUUAAUAGUGAUUUUUUGGGCGAUAAGAUUGCAUAAUUGACAGAUAGGAACUCGAUAAAAUUCUUAGGAUGAAAAUUACUAAGUGUCAAUCCCAACAUUAGUUUAAUUGAGAAAGUAUUAAUAGGGUUAAUUGCACCAUAAAUUGGGAAAUUUUUUUAGAAUGUCUAUCAAUUCUUCUUUCUGUAUCACUUGGGAGAGGAGAGAUAGAUUUUGUAAUUUUCCUUUCUACAAAUUAUAUAGUGAAACUCGUUGGUUGCAACUUACAAUUUGCUAGCUGUUGGAUUGGAAUGAGCGACUUUUCGUUUCAGAAAGGUGGUGAUGUUUAGCUAGGCUUAAAGAACUUUAAUUAUAAAUAAACAAGUAAAUUUAAAACUAAAUAAAUUUUUUAUUUGUCAAAAUUGGAAAUUUUGGCUAUCUUAGAAUAUACUUAAAUAUACUUUAAAAUAAUUUUUUUCAUCUAUUAAAGGAGAAUUAUGGAAAAAUCAUGCAUACACAACAAAGGAAUGUAAAUGAUAAAGAUCGAGAAACAACCUAAAAAUUCCAAAUGACAAGCAUAAAACCAGCUUAUUAAAGUCAGCUAAAUCAGUACUAAGUUAGUUAAAGAGGUAGGAAAAAUAAGCAAAAAGAAACAUAAACUGAAACCCAUGAUUGAUGAUGAAAACAAUAGAAAAAAUAAAGCAAUUUCUACACUAAAACAUUAUUAAAAAAAUAUCCCUAAAUAUAGCCUAGAAAAACCAAAAUAAUUCUAAGCAAGUAAAAAAUAAAUAAAUAAAUAAAAUGCAAAAUUACCUUUGAUUCGCUAGUGUUUACUUUAUUACCACCAGCCACGAGAAGUCGUUAAAGAAUCGAUUUACUUGUAUCUUUAAAAAGAUGAGUUUGAUCUUGAAAAAGAUGAAUCUUUCAGUAUUAUUCAUAAUGUCCCAUACCCUUAGAAAAUAAAGAAAGACAUGUUUAAGAAUAUACAGUCAUAGAGAGAGAGAGAAUAUGGGUGUGAAGAAGAGAGAGAGAGAAGUGUGAGAGUGAUGCAUAAUAUAGAUAUAGAGAGAGAAGGUAGGUGAGUGAAUGAGUUUUAGAGAGAUAAAGUGGAAACUCAUUAACAUAUGUGUCAGCCCAUUAAAUCUGUAAACCCAGCAAUGAUGAAACCACUUCAACUCACUCCAGUAUUGCUCAGCUUAGCUAGAAAAUGGCUUACGAACAAUUAAAAAAAAACCCACUCCUAUAUAUUUAGUUAGAAAAUCCCAAAAAACUGGUAUAAAUUAUUUUAACAGGAUUUCACUAUCAUUAUUUGGAACUAUAACAAAAGGUGCAGAAAUUUCGCGUGUUAAUUGUGACCAUUUCGAAUUUUUAGUCCACUUAUGUGACCUCAUCCAUUGCCUUAAUAAGAAUCUUAAUACGUUGGUUUUCAAUUAAUACAAACGUGACUAUAAGUGAAAUAUAAUGCAUCAUUUUAACUUUUAUAUUCAAUGACCGUGACCUUUUAAUAUGUCUUAUUUGACCUGUUAAUUUUUACAUUUUAACUGCAACCAUAAUCCAAUGGUGCAAAUGACAGAAAUGAGGUAGUUUCAGCCUUGUUAGCGGCCCCAAUGUAAUGGUUUGAUUCCUGAGAUAUGAAAUUUGAUUCUUUGUGGAUAUCAGUGUACAGACAAACUCUUGUUCUUUAGCCUGUUGGAACACAUUCCGCGAUUUACCUCUCUCACAAUACUCUAAGGAUGGGGCAGUAGGGGCCUUCAAGGUUGAGGUUCAACCCUUUUUCUUUUUUGAAUAUAUUGCAUCAAUUUGCCUUCAAGUGCACUAUUAACCAAUUUUAAAUCAGAAAUGUGAUUUUAAGAAGAAUAUGACAUAUUUAGGCUAUGUUUGAACCUCAUUUUUUUUUAUUUAAAAAAGUAAACUGCAUUUUGGAAUAGAAGAUUGAUGAAAAAUGUAUGGUUAAAAAUAAAGGAAAAGUUUUUAGGUUGUGUGUAAUAUUAUUUUAUUAAAAAAUGUAUGAUUAAAAAUAAGAGAGAGAAAAAUAUAUUUUAAAAAAAGAUGGGGAUCAAACGGGGGCUUAAUGUGGUUUAUAGUUUUAAUUCCGUGAAGUUUUGCACUCGUAUGGAUGGAUACACACAUUUUAGGAUUUCGAUACGGGAUGGUCACACUGGAUUUUGAAUUGAUUUGGGGAUUUAUUUUUAUUUUUUUUGGGUGUUUUGGAUUUCUUUCCAUUUUCGAGAAUUUAAUUGAUAAAGUUGUUAGACAUUAGUUUAGGAACUUAAUAGUAAAAGUAGCAAAUGAAAUUGCUAAUAGGAAGACAGGACUUAGUGCUAAACACUAAAUAAUUCUCUUAUAUUUGGAAAGAAGAGAGUAUUCAAAAAUGCUGGAAAAGGCAAAGAUUAUAAGGCAGGUCUAUGCGUGAAGGUGUUCUUAGAAAAGAUGGUGAAAAAAAUAGUAUAGGAAAAAUACAUAACUACGAUAUUUCAAUUACACAAUUUCAUAUUUAACAAACUUACAAAAAUAUUCCAAAAUCUGGUGAUAAAUUAUAUUAAUAUAUUAUAUAUUUUUAAAAUAUAUAUUAUUAAUGAAAUUUAAGAAAAUUAGUUAAUCUACAAUAUCUUUAUCUACAAAAUCAUAUCCUAAUAAUAUAUCAUUUAAUAAUUGUUUUUCUUACCCUCCACAAUCUCUCUCUUACACCUCCUCACACUCUCUCUUUUAUAGAUUUUCUAAAUUAGGUGGUCACAUUUUGUUGUGACAUAUAAUUUAAUUAAACAAGUUCCGAUCACAAUAAUACAUAAUUUGUGGUCACUAUUACAAAUUGUACAAGGUCAUAGUUACAAUGACAUAAUUUGUGAUCAUGAUUACAAAUUUAAUCACAAAUUACUUGUUUUAAUAGGUUACAGUUUACAGAUUUUGUAACUGAUAAUAUGUGAAACCUCAAAUGGAAGCCACAUGGAAGCACUACUUGCAUACACGUGGUAGCCAACCAUGACAAAAUAAAGAAAAAAAAGACGAGAAUCACCUUUCCGUCAAGUGCUAUCUCCACCAGGGCUCUGCUGUCGAAGAGCGCUCUCUCGAAUUUGAACUCCUUUCGUUCAAAGCUCUCUCUCUUGUGGUCGAAGCACUUGUUUUAUUUAGAGCAAAUUUGAUGAGUGUAUUUUUAAGAAUGAUUAAUGUAACGUUUGCAUUAAUAAGUGUCAGACAUGUUAAAUCUAGGAAUGUAGAGCGGUUUACCUCUUAUCAAAUGUAUUUGUCAAUGUAAUUAAUGUGUGACACUAUUACGACUUCUGUCAAUUAAAUGGAGCCAUGUAGAUUUGAUUCAACAGUGACUACUUCGGCCUGAUCAAUAUAAAUAACAAUUUUUGUAACAUCGUACGAGAUGAAAAAUAUAUAUUCAAGCUUACAUGCUUAUCACCAUUCUCUUGAUAUUUAUUUGCUUAAGUUACAAUUAUUCAUUAUUACAAUUGUUUCUGGCCAUGUGCAUUUCACUCCUAUUCUCACGUCCAUGGUAAGCCGUCGAAUUUUAGACCAGAUAUUCGGGAAAAGCCCAUCGAAAUUUGCUCACAUGGACUUAAGCGGAACCCGACACUCGUUGGCACAUUUUUUGGGGUGAAUAGAUUUAGUCACAAAUUAAAGUUUUUACAGGUCACAAAUUAUAAAUAAACAAGAUUACCAAAUUAACGGAUCACAAUCGCCCUUCAUCUCCACUCCACCUCACCUCCUACCCCACUCCAUUGCUGUUGGCACUACCCAAAUCGUCGCUGCCAACACCACCAUCACCACUUGCAUCCCACCACUACCCCAUCCACCUCCACACAAUUGAACUAUAAUGUUGCGUAUACAAUUUCAUUACCGUUGGUGUUGACACCACCCAAAUCAUUGUCGUUACAACCACAAUUAUAAUUUGAUAUGUUGCAUGUACAAUUUCACCUUCAUCAGCGCCAUCCCAAGUCGACCACCACUUCAAAUCCACAAUCACGAUCACAUCCUUCAAAAUCCACCACCACCAUCGUUUGCACCUUCAACACGCUACGAAUUCAUAGCCAAUAAAGAAAAGGUUGGCACAGAAAUAAAAGAAUAGAAGCACAUAAUCAAAAGCAAAUUUUGGUCUGAUUGAUGGAAUAGUGGCGACACCAUGGGUGUAGGUUUGCCCGCCCUAUCAAUAAUGCCUGAAUUCGAAAUUUCUGAGAUUCACAAUUCACGAAUUCGAAUUUUUUCUCAUAGAUUUUGUGCCCCACAUGGUGUUAUGAAACCAAUCGAAGUUGGAAUCAUGUUUGGGAGGUGAUUUCACCAAUUGUCGGUAGUGGGAAGUGGCGACGACGAUGACUGUCGGCAUUCAUGGUAUUGUUCUGAGAAACCCUCCCUCGUACACCAAACAAAAUCCAUUUUGAAGAAAUAAGCAUGUGUACAGGGGGUUCUGUGAUUCCCUCCGAAUUCUCACAUGGGUGGGCCCCAUAUGAGUAAAAUAUUCCCAAUUAAAAAAAGAAAAUCCACCCACCCCUUAUUAUGUGUGUUUUGGAAUAGCUUUGUAAAUCCCUCCCUUGUACACCAAGCAAAAUCCAUUUUAAGAGAAAUUGUUAUAAAGAGAAUAAUGGGUAUGGAUGGGUGAAAUUAGAGGGGGAAAUGAUAAUUAUCUUUAUUUAGUUUCUGUUGAUAUAAAUUUAUUAAUAUUAAAACGUGAAUAACACCUGUUUUAUGAAAAUAGACAAGUCCUUGUUUGAUGGUCAAUAUUUGAAAAAAAUAAUAUAUUUUUUGAAUAAUGAAUUUUUGAAGAAUGCGUUGUUAAAAAAUUGAGAAAAAGUAUUUGAUUUAUGUGCAAAAUAUUUUAUUACGUGAAAGUAUGGUUAACAAUGAAUACGUAAAAAAGAAUUUUAAAGGCCAUCAAACAUGGACUAUUUAAGAUCAGAUUUUUGAAAAAUAUAGUUAAAAUGUAGAAUUUUUCUUUAAUUUUCCCAACUGGUAAACCAUGUUUUUGAUUGGCUAUAAUACGGGCAAGCUGAAAGGUGAUCCUAUUUACAUUUUUUUAAUUUUAUUUUAAGUUAAAUAAACUAAUUAAGUAAUAAAGAAUUGUUAUUAAUAAUCAUAAAAUAAUUCAAAUAAUAUUAAAGCCUAUUUCGUGUUAUUAAAAUUGAUGAAAUAUAUGGUUAAAAAAUUGUAAAUCUCAUAUAAAAUAUGUGAUUAUUAUACUUUGACCCAUUUUUGGACUUUCCAAUGUUUGGCUGCUUUGGCAUUAUCAUUUUAUCAUGCCUUAUUACUUUUCAGUUUAGCUUGGUGUAUGUAAUAGUUGACAAUUUUUUUUUAUUUUUUAAAUUGUGUGAUAUAAUGCAUAGUUUCGCCAUUGACUUUAAGACUUCAAACGAUCAAUGAUCUUUAUUUUUACAUUACACACAAUGUCAAUCAUAAUGUAUACAAAGAAUGUAAAAUUUUGUGUUUAAUUAAGCCCCUGUUUGACAUUCUUAAAAUUUAAAAAAUAAUGUUUUGAAUGGUAGUUUUGAAGAAUGUGUGGUUAAAAAGUAGGAAAAACUUUUGAAUUAUGUGUAGAAAAUUUUAUGUGUAAAUAUAUUAUUGCAAAUGAGUAUAAAAAAAAUACAUUAAAGUACAAUAAUGUCAAAUUGGGUUUAAGAUGAUGGUCAUUCUGACGAUCAAAUUAAAAUUGUUUAGCUAAGUAGAACAUAGUCAGUGAGAUUUGCUAUUUGUACACCGAGCUUUGACAUCUCGGUGUACAAUCCCCUCACAAUAGGAGGUCGUGUCCAAAAAAAUAAAAAUCACAAACCUCCUAUUCUGAAGGAGGCUAUAUACCAAGUUGUCAAACUUGAUGUACUUAUAGCAAAAUUCUACAUGGAUAGGAGGCAAAUGAAUUGUGAAAUAAAUUAAGUUGAUUGAAAAUUGUUGACAAAAGUCUUGACAUAAUCUUAUAUACUUGUGGAAUUCAUGUGAAUAAAAAAUUUCAAAAAAAUGACUCCACCUCCUAUUGUAAGUGUUCGAAUAGGAAGGCUAUCAAUCCCUUGCAGUCAGUGUAGCAAAGUUGAACCGAAAUGUAGAAUGGUGGGACAGAGAGGUAGCUCCAAUUGGUUAGAAGUACACGUGUACGGAAAAAUUACUUCUAGAGUUAAAAGAGUUAACUAUGAAUUCAAGUGCAAGAAGUCCGUGCAAAUAAGAUGCGUGUAAAUGACUUCAGGUUAGCCCCUUCCAGAAACACCAGCGCUACAUGACAUGUAUUUCUAUCCAUUAAAAAAAUUAAAAAAUCAUUAAGGAACCAAACUAACCAGUCAAACACGAUAUAGCAGUUUCACAAACGCGCCGCCCUAAAACUGGAGGCCAAUUGGCCACUAACCGCCAAACCGACACGGUUUCUACUCGACGAUUCCCCCUGAUUUCUCAGCUCAUUGUUUUUCUAAAACUAUAUAUACCUACAAUCAAACUUCAAUUCAGCCGUAUCUCAGACAAUCUUAUCCACUUUCAGUAUAGAAUCUACUAUCAGCCGUAUCUCAGACUAUCUUAUCCACUUUCAGUAUAGAAUAUACUAUCAACCAUAUCUCAGACAUAGUAACACGAAUAUAUAUAUAUAUACACGAGAGAUAUUUCAAUAAUUGGUGGUGGUGGUGGUGGUGUUGUAUAUUUUCAAUUAUCAAUUUGACAUGAAAGUUAAGAAAGGAGAAACAGCAGUACCUUCUCUGACGAGGUCGUAUAGCUCACCGGGAAAUGGAGUAGAAAAUCCCCAAUCUUCUCCGAAGUCAGCCUUCCAGCGAUUGCGCCAGAAAUUAUCGCCGAGGAAGACCGCAUCCGUGGAUCUGAAACCAUCAAUUUCAAGUUCCGAUGAUAAAAACGGUGAGGCUCCGGAGGUGGAUAAAUGGAGCGAAAAUGAGAUGGUGUUUAGGUACUUCGACGAAAACGGCGAUGGUAAAAUCUCAAAAGAAGAGCUACGGCGGUGCGUGAGGGCUUUAGGUGGCGAAAUAUCGGAGGACGAGGCGGAGAUGGUGGUGCAGUUUUCGGACUCAGACAGCGAUGGAAUGUUAGGGCUAGAGGACUUCACAAAGCUAGUGGAGGGCGGCGGCGAGGACGAGAGAAAGGACGAAUUGAAGGACGCAUUCAAAAUGUACGCAAUGGAAAAUAGUGAAUUCAUAACGCCUAAAAGCUUGAAGAAAAUGCUGAAUCGGCUGGGGAAUUCGACCUCCAUGGAUCAUUGCGCAAGCAUGAUAAGCAGAUUCGACAUUAAUGGAGACGGCGUCCUUAGCUUCGAUGAAUUCAGAGAAAUGAUGCGAUAAAUGAUUCAAAAUUUUGAAACAAACAUUUAUGCUCAAGAAUUAUCCAAUUUGGAAGCCCUCUCUCCCCGAGGCAAUUUUUAAAAUGGCUGGAUAAUUGAUUCAAUUUUUCACAAUAGCCUUUUCUGUUGGAAGUACUAUUUUACUCUUACUAUAAUUAUUUGCAAGUUGUAUCUUAUAUUUUUAAGGAUUUAUUAAUCAGGACCUAUAUCUAUAUUCUUCAAUCUUUCAAACACCUUUAAAUAUUCUUUGUAUUUUAGUAAUUCUUCAAAUAUCCUAGGCUGACAUUUCUUGGUUAUAUAUCCUCGAACUAAUCUUUCUGAAAUUUUUUCUUGUAUAUCUCUAUGUUUAGUUAUAAUAUCCUCUAUCUUUCUUAUCUCUUUACUAGUUCCUACAGAAUCAAAUCCUAUAUUAUUUUUACAAUUAUAAUCUAUAUCUCUAUAUAUUUCUUCAAUUUUUUCUUUGCCAACAGAAAAUAUAUUUUCAGACUUUUCAGCUAAUUUAAAUAAAAAUGAAACAUAUUUUUUAUCUAAAAAUAAUAUGAGAUUAUUAUCAUUAUUAGAAAUAGAUAUGGAUGCUUGUGAAUUGUUCAUCAGAAUAAUUUAGGCAUAAGCAUGUAAGAAUAAGUAAAUAACUUACAGUAAUCAAAUGGAAGUAAACAUGCUUUUCCUCCAAUAUGCUUUUAUAGAUGUUUUGCAUGUACUUAAUCAAUCUUCUGAAUCAAGUAAAGAUUAAAAUGUUUUUUGAAAUCAUUUGGAUCCACAACUGCUUUCGCAAAAGGUUUUUCAAUUAAGGUUGCAUUUCUCACUCUAGAUAACUAACCGUGUUUCCACAGACGCUAUCUUACAGUAUUCAGAGUCUCUGCUUUCACCUCUAUCCAAAUUCUUUUCAGAAUCAAGUUCCUAAUUGGAAUGAAAUUUUAAAAGAUAACUCUCACACAAGGUGCUACAAUUUUGUUAGAAAAUUGCCUUUUUCCCCUAAACCAUUCUUCAAAGACGGGUACUUUGACAUGGCUGACAUCCAUUCAAAAUCAAUGUUUUGAAGUCCUUUAAAAUCUCUAUUUGUACUGUCAAGGAAUCAUGAGAAAUUUAACGAAAUCCUUUUAUGAAAACUUUGUUGAACAUAACAAAUUUUAUUUUGAUAUUCAUAAAUUGAAAUUGUACAUGCUUACAAACUAUAUUUACAUACCUUUGGUACUCACCUUAUGAAGUUUAGAACUCCAUAAGUGAUUACCUUAUUACACGCUUUACUAUCUUCAAGCUAUCUAAUAUUUUUUUGAAUACAAGUGGUGUAUACAGAUUACAAAAGAUAUAUCUCUAAGAUACGUUUCUUUAGAGUGUUUUAGAGAUAAGUUGUUUCAAGAUAUCUUCCUUCUUCCUCCUUGCCUCCUUUUAUAAAAGCCUUUGGGAAUCUUAUCUUGACAGGUGUUUUUCACCUUUCUUUGUUGGGUAGUUAGGCCAUCUUAUCUCCACCGAAUUCUUCAUUAUCUUCUUGCUAGGUGGACCUCUUCAUUUGAAAUUAUAUGCAUUAUCUUUUGAGUUUGUCUGCCACUUGUGAUAGUUGGUGGGGAGUAGUCACAAUUAUGGAGACUUUUCUUGUACUAUCUUCUGUCUUUUAGUAGCCACGAUUUUUCUUUAAUAAAGUUCUUUAUUAAAGUAGUGAUAAAGGGCUACUUUUGUCACCAUCACUUUUCCAUUUUUGAAUCAAAGAAUUCUACAGGGAAUUCUUCAUCAUUAAGGGAUGAUUGACUCAUAUCUUCAACUAUACAGUAUUCACAAUGGUGAUCACUGUAAUUCCAAAGUAAUUUGCAUAAUUCUUUAGCCAUAUCUUCUGAUCCAUGCACUUGGUUGGAAAUAAUUACAGAUAAUAAAUGGUCGAGAUAACAAAUAUUUUCUUCUUUGGUGGCCAUCCUUGCAUUGGAGUAGAUAAUAUGAUAUUCAGAUGGAUAUACUCAUAUUUUUUCUUUCUCAAUAAUUAUCUGGGUUACAUGUUCAAAUAUUUCUUUGUACCAUUUUGCUCUUCUGUAGGGCAUCAUGUUUAAAAUAUCUUGAUAUUCAUUUUUAACAACCUUUUGAUUGGCUCUGUGAAGAGCUACUUGCUCUUUUGAUAUCUUGAAUAUCUUUAUUACCAGUAAUAGGUUCAAGUUUUCCCUGUGAAGGGGUUCCUAUUACCUUCUUUUCUUUCCCUUUAUUCUCGGGGAGAGUACUAGUAUUCAUAAGUCCCUGCAAAGGGAUAUUAGAUUUGGUACAAGUAACUUUUGCCUUAAGGGCUAUAUUUUUGCCUCGAAAGCUAUCUUGGAUAUUUUGAAUUUGUGUUUCCAGAUAGAAAACUUUUAUCUCAAGUAUUUGAACUUUCACCCUUAAUUGUUCUAGCUCCAUCCCUGCUAAGAUAAUUAGGAAGAAAGUUAGUUUUACCUUUUAUAUAUUCAAUAUCAAAUUUGAAAUAUGAAAACCAAAUUUGUAUCUUAAUAAUAUAUCUAUUGGCAAUAGAUGGAUCAACAUUAUUUUUCAAAAAUGCUUUAACUUGAGUAUUAUCAGUUUUAAUCAAGAACUUCUUUGGUAAUAGAUAAUCUUCAUAUUUCUGAACUCCUCUUUUACAGCAAUGAGUUCUUUCCUGUUCGUCUCAUAUUUUGUUUCAACUUCUUUAAAUGUUCCUGAUAUAAAACCUGCAAGUAUCUCAGGACAAGAACAAUCUUUUUCACAUUUAUAUUCUUUAUGAUUUUUUUUCACCUUUAACACUGCUCCCAGUAAUAAUCUGAAGCAUCAGUUUCAAGGAUAAAGAAAUCUUCUUCUUGUGGUAUUACAAGUUUGGGCAAUACCUUUAACUCUUCUUUUACUUUCCUUAUAUUUUCACAAUCUUAUUUUUCCCAAGACCACAUAAUAUUUUUCCUUAAUUUUGGAAGAAAAUAAUUUUUUAAUUUGGCACAAUUCUCAAUGAAUCUUUCAGCAUAAUUUAAUAUACCAAGAAAGCUUUGUAAUUGUUUUUUAUCUUUAAUUUCUUCAGAAAAUUCUUGAAGUUUUUCUCCAAUAUGGGAUUGCAAUUGCAAUUUUCCUUCUUUUAUAAAUAAUCCCAAAAAUUCUAUUUCUAUUCUAGCUAUCUCAACUUUCUUUUGAGAAAGUGUAAUACCAUGUUUUUCAUAAUAUAACAAAAUUUCUCAAGAUAUUCAAUAUGUUCAUCAAUAUUAUUUGAAUGAAUAAGUAAAUCAUCUACAUAUGCAACACAGAAAUGAGUAAUUGGUUUGAUUACCUCAUCCAUUCUUUUUUGGAAUAUUUGUGGUGCAUUUUUCAACUCAAAUGGCAUUACAUUCCAUUCGAAUUGUCCUAAAGGAUUGGGGAUACUAAAUGCAGUUAGUGGUUUACUUUUUUCUGUAAGCAUGAUUUGUCAAAACCCUGACUUACAAUCAAAUUUUGAAAAUAUUUUUUUGUUAUGUACUUGUUUAAUAAGGGUGUCCUUAUUUGGCAAGUAGUAUCCAUCAAAUUUAGUAACUUCAUUUAAUUUUUUGUAAUUUAUCACAAUUCUGGCUUUUCCUAUUUUUUAUCUCACUAAGUUUUCUAACCAUAAAGGCUGGGCUGCUAUGUGGACUUUUACUAGGCCUAAUUAUCUUGGCUUUUAGCAAUUUUUUUAUCUGGUCUUUAAAUUUCUUUUGAUCAUCAACACUAUAUUUCAUGGGUUUGACUCUAACAAUAGUGUCUGGAUUGGUUAAUUCUAUUUUUGUCUUUACUUUGUCUGUAUUCCAUUUUUCUAAUGGAUUUUCAGAAUAUGUUUCAGAAAUUUCUUUUUUCAGUUUUUCAAUCCUAUUUUCUGUUGUUAUUUUUAAGACUGUAACUGGUUUAAAUUUUUCUGUACUCCAACAUCCACCACGCUGGGUUGAGGAACUCUGAUAAUUUAUAUCUGUAUAUACUAUUGUAACAGCUUUCUUUAUUUUUUGUGUAAAUAUUUUAUGUGCACAAGGUGUUGUGAACAUAUACUUAUCAAUAUAUUGUGUAAAUGGUGCAUAUUUUAAUAGAAAAUUUUGUCCUAAUAAAAUAUCACAUCCAAUUGUGGUUGACAUGUAUAUUGUAUCAACAAAUACUUCUCUAAAGAAAAUUAGAAAAGGUACUUGCGUAGCAUAUUUGCUGUAUAUUACCUUAUUUUCACCUACUGUUGUAGCGAUGACUAUCUUCUUUGAAUUGUAUAUCCAGUAUUCAGAUGGUAGUACAUUUGGUAAGCAUAAGCUUAUUGUACUUCCUGUAUCUAAGUAUGCAUAAAAUUUAAUUCUACAAUAGCUUUUUAUAUUAAGUGUAAUUUCAAUAUAUGGACUCAUGGGAUUAGUACUUAUUACUCUUUCCAUGAUAACAAUGAUUUCAUAUUUUCAUCUAUUCUUGAUAUGAUGAUUGGGUUAUCAUCAACUGUUAUCUUUAAAUAUCCUUGGCAGAUUUUAUAAGGACUAUAUUUAUCAAGAAAGUUCAUUCCUAAUAGAAUAGGUGAACGAUCUACUCCAUAUAAUUCAUCUUUAUAUAAAAUUAUUUCUUUAGUAUAUUCUUUCUGAUCCUCUCCUAUAAGUAUAAGAGGGAACUUAACAUAUUUUCUUAUUUCAAGAUUAUUUCCUAAAUAAUCCUUUACUUUAUAUUGUUCUGGCAUUUCAAAGUCUAUUAAAUUACUAACAAAUUUAGCAUUUAUAUGACUUUUAUCUGCUCUAGUAUCUAUGAGGACAAGAAGAUUCUUCUUAUAUCCUUCUUGAUUUAUAUAUCUUGCCUUAAUGUAAUAUUGCGAACUUGAUGGUUCAGCAAUACUUAAAUUCUUAAGUCUGCUUAUCCUAGAGUUUUGUCUAGAGGGAAAUCUUGCAAUAAGAUUAUCUCCUUCUAAGCUGACACUAUUUAUUCUUAUUAAUUUUCUUUCGGAAUUAAUUUCUUUAGUUUGUUUAUGAAAAUCAAGCAUUAUUUGUUUUGGUAUAGUGACUUCAUGUUCUUGGUAUUUCCUAGGAGGUAUAUAUUGUGCUAAUUUCUCAAAAUCUUUAUGUAUGAUAAUGUUAUCAGUUAUCUUUCUUAGAUUGUUAUGAUGGCUAGUACUAAAAGCAAAAAUUGAUUUUGUGCUUAUACUAAUAGCUUUACUUCUUCGUAACAUUUUUAAGUUUCCAAUUCUAUAGUAUAGAUUGAAACUUUGGUCAAUAUUUUCAUCAUUUAAUGAUAUUGCAUAAAUUGAUUUUACUGUAAAUAUUAUCUUUUGAUAGACUAAGUUUCCUACAACUGUUCCUAAUAGAGCAUUUAUAGGAUCUUGUAAGAUUCUAUUGUUCAUACAAUAUAUUUCUAUUGGUAUGUUCAUACCUUCUCUAAAGAAUCAUUUUACCAUUAUCUGGACUCCUUCUAUUUCAAUACAUUUUAAUUUGUUUCUUACAUUUUCUGGGAUUUUGGAUAACUUUUGUUUUACCCAUUCUUUUGUAAUUAUAGGAAUUCUUGUUUUUCCUAUAGUAUCUUCUAUAUUGAUAGACAUUUCUUUAUAAUUCAUACUUAAAAUUUUUUUAUUUACUCUUGGUAAAAUUUCUAAGAAUCCUUGAUGAAAUACAUCUUUUUCUUGUAGGUCUAAUAUCUUCUUAGUGAUUCCUGUUUAUUUUUUUAAUAUCAAAGGUAAUUUCUUGAUUUAUACCUUCUAUAGAGUCUUCAACUUCUUCAAUUGUUUCUAUUUCUAUUUCUACUUCUGAUUGUUGUGUCUCUUGAUUCAUAUAUAGUAUCUCCUUAUAAUCUUCUUCUGAUGAUGAUGUAUUUAAUUCAUAAAUGCUACUGCAUUCACUAAUUAGAUCUUCAAAAUAUUCAAUUGGUUCUAUGUCACUAUCUUCUUUAAAUUUUUCAUAAAUUCUAAGAGUUUUAUAUUUUGUCUAUCUUUCUUUUUAGGACAUUGAGGGGCAAUGUAUCAUUUUUCAUUACAAAUAAAACAUCUACAUUUUUUAAUAUUUCUUGGUUUAAAUUUCUUAUUCCAAUUUUUUUUCUUGAAAUAUUUUUUGUGUGGUUUAAAAUUUCUUUUCUUGAAUUUUUUAUAAUUUUUGAAUUUUCUUUUAUAUUUCUUAUACGGUUUAUAUUUCUUCUUAUGGCAUCCAAAUUUUUCAACUUAGCCAAUAUCUUUGUAACAACAUAAUGAAUUUUUUCUUAUUUUAUAUGCAUUUUUAUUUUCUAAAACUUUCCUGCACCACAUACCUAUCAUUAUUUUUGUAAAUUCAAUCCUACUUCCAAGACUAUCUAUUUUUAUUCCUUCCUCUUCUCCUAGAGGUAAUAAUUUUUCAUAUUCUUUUAAUAACUUAAUUCCCGAUGGGAAUGGUAACUUCGUAAAAUAAGAUCUUAAUAUAUGUUUAUUUUCUUGAUAAUCUCAUUAGUUUAAUAUAUAGUAUAUUUCUUCAAAUUUACUAGUAUACCUUUCUAAUUCACACAUAUCACAUAUCUUUAAGUUUUUCAUUGCUAUCAUUCCUUGAUUAUAUUCAUCUUGUUUUCUUUUUUCAUCAUUAGAAGUAUACUUAUCUCCUAAGAAUUCUGUUCUUAAGAUUUUUUCAAAUUUUUUUAAUAUCUUCUGUAUAUUUUGUUCAUUUAAAGUAUUCCUAUUAUUUAAUACCUCAGUUCUACCUGCUCCAUACUUUAUCCUUCCUUUAAUAGUUUCUGAUAAUUUUCUCCACCAUUCAGAAACAAUUCCUUUGAAUGUAUGUUCGAUAAAUUCAAAAGCUGUAUAUGUUUCCCAUUUAUUAAAUUGUAUUGCUAAAUCUGUGCUUUUGAUCCAUGUUUCAAUAGCUUUAUUUUUAUCUACAAAGUCUAGAUCCAACCAUACCCCUGUUGUGUGGAUUGGUUCAUUAUAAGAUUUCAUUAGGUUUAUUUCUUUUAUGGACUGUUUUCUUACAUUUUCAGUAUAUCUUUUCUGUGUUUUUCUAUAUUGGUAAAUACCAUCCUUAUCAGGUAUUGGGAUACUAUAAGGAUAAUCUUGUUCUUCAUCACUAUUGAAUUUUACUUUUAUAUUCUGACUUGAAGAUGGAUUAGUAUUCAUCUUUGUAUUUUUCAUUUUUCAGUUAAUUCUUCUAACUAUUUUUUAUAUUCUUCAUACUCUUCACAUGUAGAUUUUAAGAAUUUUUGUUCUAUUUCUUCUACAUCUGUAAUCAUAUAUUGUUUUUCUUCAUAUUUUUUCCCUUUAUUAUUUUCCUUUUGUGUUAUCCUAAAAUCUUGAGGUGGAUUAAUUAUAAUCCUAUCUUUUCCUUUAAGAUUUUUAUCUAAAAGAGCGUUACUUACUUGUAGAUUAUAUUCUAGAUUUCUAAUCUUUUGUGUAUAUCCUUAAAACUUUCAUUUGUGGUGUUUUUAUGUAAAUAUGGAUAACUAGGUUUUUUAUAUUUUUCAAUCUUUUUCAAAAACUCUUCAAUUAUAUUUUCUUCAUCUACUAUAUUCAUCAUAAUUUUUGGUUCGUAACAUGACUCUGAUACCAUUUCAUCGGAGUGUGCAUCGAAAGGGUUAAGAUUUUUGAGCCAAUUAAAAUCUUCAUAAGUUUUUAAAAUAUUACAAUAGAAUUUAUAAAACUCACUAUUUUUUAUUAAUACUUUUUCUUCAAUAAUUAUAUUUAGUUCUUUAAUUCUUCUUCUCAGGUUAAGAAUUUGUUUAUAUAUAUCAUUUUCUGUUUUGAUUGUACUAUUAUCUAUAGAAACAUUUUUAUUUUUUAAUUUUGGAUCUAAAUAUUUUAUAAAGAAACAUUUUAGAUCUUCUUCUAAAUAUUUUAAUUCAUUUUCUGUUGUGUUUUUUAGAUCAAUAAAAUUUUGUAUAAUAUUUGAGUUUAAAUUUAUUAAAGAUUUUUUGAUCUAUAUUUCUUUGAGAACCUAAUUGAAGGUUUUUAUACAUUGUAGUGAUUUUGGUUGCAAUUUCACAAUAAGGGGUAUUUUUGGAAAAGUUGUUGUUCAAAGGCUAUUCUUCAAAUAUUUAUAUUUUUUGGUCUAAUCUUACAAAACUCCCUUUUAUUUAGGCUAUCUAGAGGUAUUUCCUCCUCUCUCCCCCUCUCCCUCUCUCGGGGUGUGUGUAGAUAUAUUUAAUAAAAAAAACAAAAGGAAUAAAUGAUUGAACUGUUUUAGAGUUUAUUUGGUACAAUUAAAAAGUCAAUUAAAAUCAAUUUUUUGACCAUUAUUUUACUAUUACAGUCAUUAAUUUUUGAAUUUUUUUCUCACAGGUAGAACCCAUUCUAUCUCUAAUAAUCUAAAAAUCAAUUAUCAAAAUUUCUACAAAAUAAGCACUUAUUAAAGUGGUGCAACUUUCAAGCCAUCUUAUUCGGUCCAUAUUUGAUAGGCAUCCUUUAAUUUUUUAUUUUUUUUCCAGAUUUAUUUUUAAUAAUGUAUUUUUCUAAUAAAAUAAUUUUAUACAUGGAUCAAUAAUAUUUUUCUAAUUCUUAACCACACAUUGUAAAAAAAAAUUAUUAGUCAUAAAAUCUAUAUCAAAUAAACUCUUAAAGCCUGUUUGGGAGUGAUUUUGAGAAUUAAUUUUUUGACCGUUAGGAGAAAAGUGGAGUCCAUCUGUGAGAGAAGAAGUCAAAUAUGACGGUUGAAAUAGUGAAAUAACGGUCAAAAAAUCAAUUUUUUGGAUGAAAAAAUCGCUCCCAAACAGGCCCUUAGUCAUGUACACCAAAUAGUUCAUAAAUGAAUUAUGUUCCCUUUAUUUUCUUAAUUUUAUAAUUCUCAACAAUUAAAUUAUUUCAAAAGUUGUUUAAUUACCACUUUCUAUUAUUACUUAGGGAAAAAUUUAUAUAUUGGUAUUAAGUUUGCACCAGUUCAAUUUCUAGAGAUUAAGUUUAAAAUCACAAAAAUCUAAUGUUAAUUCAAUAUUUUAAUUUUACAUAAUAAUAUUAUUAAAUUAAAUUAAUUUACCCACUCCACCAAACCCCAUUCCCACUUCAACCUCGCUACAUGCACGGAAAAUUCAUGAAAAUAGCCUAUAAAAAAAGGCCGUUUUUUCAAGAUGACCUUUGGUCAAUUUACAUACCUAAAAUACCCUUUAUUUAGAUAUUACAUAACAAGUCACUAUAAUAUAGAAAUUUUCUAAUUUAGUCCUUAAAAUUAAAUAUCACUUGGAUUUUGAUUUUUUUAUUUUGAUUUAUUUAUUUAUUAGAUUUAUUUGAUUUUUGUUCGCUCUAAGUAACCCCCUAAUUGGUAUCAGAGUCAUAGAGAUCAUGAAGAAACUCAUAAAAAAUAGAUUACCUGAAAAAAUAAAAAUCUUUAGAUUUAGGUUAACACUUAGAUUUUAUAUAAAUUUAAUAAAUAAUAGAUUAAUUAUUAUAAAGUUAAAGAAAUAUUUAGAUUAUACAUCUUUAAAAUAAUAAUUAAUUAUAAUAUACAAAUAUUUAUAUUUACAUCUUGAUAAAAGCAUAGAGAUCAUGGAAAUUAAAAUAAGAAAAAUAGAUAAUUAUUGUAAAUUAGAAGAAGGAAGAGGAAGUUAUAUAUUUUUAAUUAGGAUAAAACAUAUUCAUAAUAAAUUAAAAAUAAUGACAUUAACAAUAGUUAAAUAUUUACCUAAAGAAAUAAAAGAACGAAUAUUAGAAAAAUUAAUAAUAGGAUUGAUAAAAGAAAUAUAUGUGUGUGAACUAAUUAUUAAAGAAUAUGAUGAUGAAGACUUACUUUAUAUUACAAAGAGAAGUAUGAGUACAAAUGAUAUACAAAUUUAAAAUUAAAUAAAUUACUUAUAAAAAUGGAAAAAAUAUAAGAAAAAAUAUGAGAUAUAAUGUUAAUACCAGAAGGAAUAAGAGUAUCAAAUAAAAGACAAUUAAUAAAACUAAAAUGUGAAAGAUUAAGACUUGAAAGUAAAUAUUUCGGUUUAGUAAAAGAAGAAUUAAUAAAACUAGAUAUAGUCAACAGAAGAUUUGGAAAAAUAAUUGAUAAAAAAGAAGAUAAAAGAUGUAAAUUAACUUAUAUGUUAUAAAGAUAAUUUUAAUAUGUCAAUAAGUGAAUAUAUGGAAGACUUAAAAUCAUUAAUAAAAAUGUUAAUAAAUGAUAUACAAGAUUUAAGAAAUGAAGUAAGAAAAACAAGAAAUGAUAUAAAUAUAUUAAAAAUUGAAAUUAGAGAAUUAAAAGAAAAUAAUAAAAAUAAAGAAAAGAAAAUAGAUAAAAAAUUAAUAGAAAAAUAAAUGACUCGAAUAGGAAAGAAAUAUAUUGAAAAAGAGAGUGUAAUAAUAGAAAUAAGAAGUAUGAAUGAUGAAUUUAAAAAAAAUAUAUAUUACCAAAAAUAUUAAAAUAAGAAGAAUUUAGAGAAAAAAUAUUAGAAAAAUUAAAAGUAGAAGAUAAAGAUGAAUGAGGAAUUAGACUUAUAGAAAAUUUUGAUCAAUUCAGUUUAAGUGAUAUAAGUGAAUACAAAGUUUUAAUGAAUACCAGAGGAGAACCUAAUCCAAUAGGAACUUCUAAAAUAGAAUUACAAGAUUUAGAUGAAAGUUAUGCAACUAUAUAUAAUAAACCAUAUAGACAAUUUUAUGAUAGAGUAAGAGAUAGACAACCACCUAAAGAAAAUAAAUAUAGAGAUAGAUUUGAAUUAAAUGAUAAUUAUGAUAAACUUAUUAACCAUGGAGGAACAAAAUUAUAUUUAAAUUGUAAAAUAAAUACUAAAAAAGUCUUAUUAACUUGGGUAGAUACAAUGAUAUUAUUCUUUUUAUAUAAUAAAGAUGACACAUGGAAAAAUAUUGAAAGAAAAAUAGAUUUCCUAAUAGUAUCCUUUGAAUGAGAUGUUAGAAAUUGGUGGGAAGGAAUAAAUAAUGAUACAAAAAUAUUAAUAAAAAGAAAUGUACAAACAAAAAUAAUAAAAUCAGACAAAUAAGGUAUAGAAAAGUUAGUAGAAUAUAUUUCAGAUGAAUUUUUAGGAGAAAAUUGGAUAAGAAACGUUGAAAGAGAAGAAAUAAGAGAAAAAGACAAUACUAGAAUUAAACUAAUAAAUUUAACAAUAUGUGAUAUGUGUAAAAUUAAAAAAAUAUACUUGUGAAUUUAGAAAUUAUUAUUAUGUUCAAUUUUAUAGUAAUGAGAACUAAGAAGUAUACCAAAAUAUAUAUUAUAAUAAUUUAUCAUGUUCAUGGAGAAUAUAUUUUAAAAUGAAAUUUGAAAAAUUUGUUAGAGAUAAUGUUGAAAUACCUAGGACUUUAGGUUCAAGAAUAAAAUUUUUAUUUGAAAGACUUGCACAUAUAUGUCAACAAAAACAAUUAAUGAAAAAAAUCAGCAAAACUAACUAGAAUAUACUGUGAAGAUAUGAAAAAUUCUAUACAGUGGGAAUGUAAUACUGAAAGAAGGGUUAAUAAAAGAAAAUAUAAAAAUAAAAAAUUUAAAAAAUUUAGAAAUUUUAAUAAAAAAUAUAUAAAACCUAAAAGAAGAUAUUAUAAAAGAAAAAAUAUCUCAUAUUGUCAACAGAAAAAAUAAAAGUUAUAAAAAAAAAGUCAAUGUAAAUAUUGGAAUUAUGGAGAAAUAUGUCAUAUAAGCCCUGAUUGUAAUAAAAAGAAAGUUAAAAUAUUACAAAAAAGAAUAUUUGUAAAUAAAAGAUGAAUUGAGUGAAAUAUCAGACAUUGAAGAAUAUUAUAAUCAAAAAGUUUAUAUAAGUGAAACAGAGGAUGAUGAAUCAGAAUCUGAAUAAGGAAAUAGAAAGUAAUAAUAUAAAUAUACAAAAAUAUGAAGGAAUAGAAGGAUAUGAAUUAAAAAUUACAUUUGAUAAGAAUAAAUUUAGAAAAUUAAAAGAUUUAUUUUUAGAUUUAAAAAUAGGAAAAUAGGAAGUUUUAGAUAGAAUUUAGAAAAGAGAAAUGAUAGCAACAAAUGAAUAUCACAAAAUAGAAAAAAAAAAUCAUAGAUGUAAGAACAACAUAUGGACAACAUAAAUUAAAUCUUUUAACAAAAAAUAUGGUUGAAGAACUAUUAACAAAUGUUAGUAAAAAACAAAGUGAAAAAAUCCAAUAUGUUUAUUUAGCAGGAAUACAAAUAAUGUUUAAAUCAUUAUUCAGAGAAGAUAUAGAUUCACCCUUAACUAUAACCUUACAUGAUGGAAGAAUAAUAAAUUUAAAAGAUAACCAUUUAGGAACAGUAGAAAGAAAUUUGGCAUAUCAAAAAAUAAUGUUUACAUUUUACCCAAAAUAUUGUGUAACAUUGAAAGAUAGAAACUUUAAUGAAAUUUUAGGAUUGCAUUUUAAAUUACAUAGAAAUGAUAUCAUGAAAUCAAGUGAUCAAAUUAUGACUAUAGAGUAUAAAACUUUAUACACAUUUACCAAUUCUAAUUAUGGAAACAUUUAUUCUAAUACACCUUAUAUUGAAAUACAUAAAGAAUGUAAGGAUAUUAGAAAAAUAAUAGAACCAAAUAAACUAAUAUGUUUAAUUGCAGAAGAAUAUGAAUUUUGUAUAAUAAGAAAUAAACCUGAAAUAACAUAAUUAAAUGAAUAAGAAUGUUCUAAUAAUAUAACAUUUAAGAAUGAAAAAUUAAUCAAAAGAUCAAAAAGUCUUAGAAUACCUAAUAAAAACCAGUUAGUAGAAUUUAAUAAUAUAAAAGAAAUAAAAUUAUAUAAGAAUGCUGAAAAUAUGAAAAUAGAAGAAGAAUAUUAUAAUGGGAGAGAAUAUAAAUAGACCAAAUAUAUUAAUAGAUACAGAAGCUAGUGAAUGUCAUAUAACUUCAAUUAGAAAUAAAUGAUUAAUAACUUAUAAAACUGAUCCAUAUAGAUGUGUAAAUUUUGAUGGACAAGUACAUAUUACAGAUUUGGAAGUUAAGGUGCUAAUAAAAAUAGGAGGAAUAGAUCUUUUAGUAUCGUGUUAUAUAGAUAAAAAUGUGGAUAUGAACCCCCAUAUACUUUUAGAAAUGAGUUUUUUAAAUGAUUAGAAGAUUAUAGUAUAAAAAAAGAAGGAUUAUAUAUAGUUCAUAAAUUGAUAUGUUGCAUGUACAAUUUCACUAUCAUCAACGCCACCCCAAGUCGACCACCACUUCAAAUCCACAAUCACCAUCACAUCCUUCAAAAUCCACCACCACCACCACCGUUUGCACCUUCAACACAUUACAAAUUCAUAGCCAAUAAAAUCGUCGACACAUAAAGAAAAGGCUGGCACAAAAAUAAAAGAAUAGAAGCACAUAAUCAAAAGCAAAUUUUGGUAUGAUUGAUGGAAAAGUGGUGACGCCAUGGGUGUAGGUUUGCUUGCCCCAUCGACAAUGCCUGAAUUCAAAAUUUUUGAGAUUCACAAUUCACGAAUUCGAAUCUUUUCUUGUAGAUUUUGUGCCCCACAUGGUGUUAUGAAACCAAUCGAAGAUGGAAUCGUGUUUGGGAGGUGAUUUCACCUGUUGUAGGUAGUGGGAAGUGGCGGCGGCGAUGAUUGUCGACAUUCAUGGUAUUGUUCUCAGAAUCUCUCCCUUGUACACCAAGCAAAAUCCAUUUUGAAGAAACAAGUACGUGUACAGGGGGUUCUGUUAUUCCCUCCGAAUACUCACAUGAGUGAGCCUUAUAAGAGUAAAAUAUUACAAAAAAUUAUAAUAAUAAAAAAAUCCCUCCCCCCCCCCCCCCUUGAUAAUGGGUAUGGAUGGGUGAAACUAGUGGGGAAAUGAUAAUUAUCUUUAUUUAGUUUCUGUUGAUAUAAAUAAAUUUAUUAAUAUAUUUAAUAAUAUUAAAACGUGAAUAACACCAGUUUUAUGAAAUAGACAAGUCCCUCUUUGAUGGUCAAUAUUUGAAAAAAAAAAAUUUGAAUAAUGAAUUUUUUAAGAAUGCCUUGUUAAAAAAUUGAGAAAAAGUAUUUGAUUUAUGUACAAAAUAUUUUAUUGUGUGAAUCCGUGGUUAACCAUGAGUAUGUAAAAAAGAGUUUUAAAUUAAAGGCCAUCAAACAUGGACUAUUUAAGAUCAGAUUUUUGAAAAAUAUAGUUAAAAUGUAGAAAUUUUCUUUAAUUUUCCCAACUGGUAAACCAUAUUUUUGAUUGGCUAUAAUACGGGCAAGCUGAAAGAUGUGCGCCUAUUUACAUUUUUUUUUAAAAAAAUUUAAAUUUUAAGUUAAAUAAACUAAUUAAGUAAUAAAGAAUUGUUAUUAAUAAUCAUAAAAUAAUUCAAAUAAUAUUAAAGCCAUAUUUGGUUGAUUAAAAUAAGAUUUUUGAUAAAAAUUGAUAAAAUAUAUGAUUGAAAAUUGUAAAUCCCAUAAAAUAUGUGAUUAUUAUACUUUCGCCCAUCUCUGGACUUCCCAAUGUUUAGUAGUUGGCAUGAUCAUUUUAUCAAGCCUUAUUACUUUUCAGUUUAGCUUGGUGUAUGUAAUAGUUGACAAUUUAUUUAUUUUUUACUUUUAAAAUUGUGUGAUGUAACACAGUUUCGCCAUCGAUUUUAAGACUUCAAACGAUCAAUGAUCUUUAUUUUUACACUUCACUCAAUAUCAAUCAUAAUGUACACAAAGAAUAUAAAACUGUGUCUAAUUAAGCCCUUGUUUGACAUUCUCAAAAUUUUAAAAAUAAUGUCUUGAAUAGUAUCUUUAAAGAAUGUGUGGUUAAAAAGUAUGAAAAAAUUUUAAAUUACGCGUAGAAAAUUUUAUGUGCGGAUAUACUGUUGAAAAUGAGUAUAAAAAAAAAUACAUAAAGGACAAUAAUGUCAAAUUGGGUUUAAAAUGAUGAUCAUUCUAAAGGUCAAAUUAAACUUGUUUAGGUGAGUAAAACAUAAUCAGCAGGGAAGGAUAUAUAAAUUUACUAUUUGUACACCGAGCUUUGACAUCUCGGUGUACAACCCCUCACAAUAGAGAGCCGUGCCCAAUAAAAAAAUCACAAGCCCCCUGUUGUGAGGGAGGUUGUACACCAUGUUGUCGAACUUAAUGUACUUAUAGCAAAAUCCUACGUGGACAAGAGGCAAAUGAAUUGUGAAUUAAAUUAAGUUGAUCGAAAAUUGUUGACAGAAGUCUUGACAUUAUCUCAUAUGUAUGUGGAAUUCGUGUGAAUAAAAAAUUUCAAAAAAAAUUGACUCCACCUCUUAUUGUGAGUGUUCAGGUAGGAAGGCUAUCAAUCCCUUGUAGCCAUUGUAGCAAAGUUGAACCGAAAUGUAGAAUCGUGAGACAUAGAGAUAGCUCCAAUUGCUUAGAAGUACACGUGUCUGGAAAAAAUACUUCUUGAGUUAAAAGCGUUAAUUAUGAAUUCAAGUGCAAGAAGUUCGUACAAAUAAGAUACGUAUAAAUGACUUCAGGUUAACCCCUUCCAGAAUCACCAGCACUACAUGACUUGUAUUUCUAUCCAUUAAAAAAAAUUAAAAAAUCAUUAAGGAACCAAACUAACCAGUCAAACACGAUACAGUAGUUUCACAAACGCGCCGCCCUAAAACUGGAGGCCAAUUGGCCACUCACCGCCAAACCGACACGGUUUCUACUAGUCGAUUCCCCCUGAUUUCUCAGCUCAUUGUUUUUCUAAAACUAUAUAUAUCUACAAUCAAAACUUAUCCACUUUCAGUAUAGAAUCUACUAUCAGCCAUAUCUCAGACAUAUUAACACGAAUAUAUAUAUAUAUAUAUAUAUAUACACACACACACGAGAGAGAUUUCAAUAAUUGGUAGUGGUGCUGCUGUUGUUGUUGUAUAUUUUCAAUUAUCAAUUUGAACUGACGGUUAAGAAAGGAGAAACAGUAGUACCUUCUCUGACGACAUCGUAUAGCUCACCGGAAAAUGGAGUAGAAAAUCCCCAAUCUUCUCCGAAGUCAGCUUUCCAGCGAUUGCGCCAGAAAUUAUCGCCGAGGAAGUCCGCAUCCGUGGAUCUGAAACCAUCAAUUUCAAGUUCCGAUGAUAAAAACGGUGAGGCUCCGGCGGUGGAUAAAUGGAGCGAAAAUGAGAUGGUGUUUAGGUACUUCGACGAAAACGGCGAUGGUAAAAUCUCAAAAGAAGAGCUACGGCGGUGCGUGAGGGCUUUAGGUGGCGAAAUGUCGGAGGACGAGGCGGAGAUGGUGGUGCAGUUUUCAGACUCAGACAGCGAUGGAA
rnacentral:lncRNA from 1 species